rnacentral:rRNA from 1 species
UAGGGAAUCUUCGGCAAUGGACGAAAGUCUGACCGAGCAACGCCGCGUGAGUGAAGAAGGUUUUCGGAUCGUAAAACUCUGUUGUUAGAGAAGAACAAGGACGUUAGUAACUGAACGUCCCCUGACGGUAUCUAACCAGAAAGCCACGGCUAACUACGUGCCAGCAGCCGCGGUAAUACGUAGGUGGCAAGCGUUGUCCGGAUUUAUUGGGCGUAAAGCGAGCGCAGGCGGUUUCUUAAGUCUGAUGUGAAAGCCCCCGGCUCAACCGGGGAGGGUCAUUGGAAACUGUGAGACUUGAGUGCAGAAGAGGGGAGUGGAAUUCCAUGUGUAGCGGUGAAAUGCGUAAAUAUAUGGAGGAACACCAGUGGCGAAGGCGGCUCUCUGGUCUGUAACUGACGCUGAGGCUAGAAAGCGUGGGGAGCAAACAGG